UUCCUCGAAAUGGUUUUAGAAGUGUCUUCCAGAUCGAGUAUAACCAUCUUGGAUUGGAAGAAGAAUGCGAGUGUAAAUUCAAGGCAAAGUGCUGCCAUGAUAAGUUCUCAUUUCGAAGCAUAAGAAUUGCUUAUGAUUGCCUAGGAUGCAUACCAUACUGGUUUGUGACGACUUUUUCUUUCGCUUUAAGCUUGAUAGUCUUUGAGGAAUUCGUUUCUUUCUUUUUUCUCUAGGUACUUUUGUACGAAAUCACUCAUAGAAGCAGGCAUUCUAAUCAUCUGGCACUUGACAAGUGUAAGAACGCGACUUGGUAGAUGAUAAUUCUGGAGUAGAAACACUACGGCUUUAAAUUCGAAGCAAACGUGACCUCGUGUUUUCGUGGCUGUCACGACUUAAGAGGAGAGAUUCGCAAAGUGCCAGGUGGAAGUGAUAAGCAUAAGACGUGAGUGCUAAUCCAAGUGAGAUGUCAAUGGAGCAUCAUGGACCGCAAUGGCGUGUCUGUCAUUGCGAGAACCACGACUUUUGGAACACUCCCGUGAUUUACAAAAAAUCGUAACGAAGAGGCUCAUGAAACGCAGUGACACCGCUUAGCCGACGGAACUUUGGAAUGGAUUUUUGACCAUAUCAAGCUCACAGCUCCGUCCGUAAGCGCAUUAUCAUACUCGAAAUACCUCUGGACACGCGACAGCGUCUGUCUCAUCGUGCUUCUCU